UUGAUGUAGUAGUAGUCAGUAGGGUAGAGAAUUAGUAGUAAAAAGAAAGAAAAGAGGAGAAAAAAAGGCAGAGUGAGAGUGGUGGCUGGUGAGAGUAACUUCCAAGUUUCAAACAAAGCCAGCAGUUAAAACUUAAAAAGUCUUAGAAUACAAAAACAAGCCAAGAAACCUCAAAACACAUCUUUUGUUUCUCUCUUAGCUAUUCCACAAAAGCAACACUUAAAAACACCACAGCCACCACCACCUGGUAUCUAUAUGCAAUUUGUUGCAACUUCCCACGACCAAAAUCCCAUCUUUCUCAGUUUCUCUUCCUUGUAUGUGAGGGCCUUCAUUUUGGCUGUGCGGGACAUCGUUUGCAAGUGUAUUUACAGAUCCUGAGGUGCUGCUAGUGCAGAUACAUCUAUCCAUUAUUAGAAAGGGGCAAAAGGGAUUGCUGCUGAGAAGAAAAUAAAAUACCACGAAUACAGAGAGAGAGAUGGAUAGAUUGCAGUGGGGAAAUAGGAAGAGGCUGAGAUGUGUGAAGGUCAAAGACAAGAACAACUCAUCAUCAGCAGCGUCAACUUCCAUCAAUGGAAAAUCAGAUGGUGCUGUUGUGGUCAAGAAGAAAAUCACAUCUCGCUUUGCUGAUAGCUGUAACAACAACAACAAAGAAGCACAACCUCAGCAUAAUGCUUCUCUUCCUCCUCUUCCUUCUCCCCAUCGCAUCAACAACAGGUAACAACUGUGUGUAUCAGAUUUCGAGUCUUUAAUUACAUCCUAUUAGGAUAAACAUUGUUUGUUGUCCUAUACUAAGGUUGAGUUCUCCCUGAAGGGGGAACA